rnacentral:rRNA from 1 species
GACGAACGCUGGCGGCGUGCUUAACACAUGCAAGUCGAACGGAAAGGCCCUGCUUUUGUGGGGUGCUCGAGUGGCGAACGGGUGAGUAACACGUGGGUAACCUGCCCUUGACUUUGGGAUAACUUCAGGAAACUGGGGCUAAUACCGGAUAGGAGCUCCUGCUGCAUGGUGGGGGUUGGAAAGUUUCGGCGGUUGGGGAUGGACUCGCGGCUUAUCAGCUUGUUGGUGGGGUAGUGGCUUACCAAGGCUUUGACGGGUAGCCGGCCUGAGAGGGUGACCGGCCACAUUGGGACUGAGAUACGGCCCAGACUCCUACGGGAGGCAGCAGUGGGGAAUAUUGCACAAUGGGCGGAAGUCUGAUGCAGCAACGCCGCGUGCGGGAUGACGGCCUUCGGGUUGUAAACCGCUUUCGCCUGUGACGAAGCGUGAGUGACGGUAAUGGGUAAAGAAGCACCGGCUAACUACGUG